ACGCUGAACGGAAAGUGAAAGUAAAGUUAGUCCAGGGCCCUACACUACUGAUCAAGGCUGGUCUACAGGUCAGUUCAUCUUGAUACAUCAAAACUCCUAAGAACUUCACAAAUCCAGUGUGUGGGUCUUCCAGUGAGUUGGAGAGGAUUGAGGAACCAUGACACCAUUUGAAACCUUGACAUGGACUAUACAUUUUAUACUUCUAAACAUUGAACCCUGUUCCACAUAUGAUCGCCUCAUCUAUAAAAUAGGUGACAGAUAUUGCAGAAUGUGUAGGCCUGGAUAUCAUGUACAUAGUCAUUGUACUACAGCUACAUUCACCUCCUGUGUGCCCUGUAUUGACUCCACCUUCCUUGAUGAGCCCAGUGGUAAAACAACAUGCAACAACUGUACCACAUGUGAUCCAGGUUUGGGUUUGAUGGUAAAGCAGCCAUGUACACCUUCAUCAGACACUGUCUGUGGGACACUGAGAGGGGUUCUACUGUCUAGACCCAACUAAGGAGGGUUGUAGAGCAGCCCAGAGACACAGCAGCUGUAAACCUGGUCAAUACAUCAGUCACACAGGAACAACAUCUACAGAUACUGUGUGUGCUGUCUGCCCUGAUAAAACUCAUUCAGAUGGAUCAUUAACAUCUUGUCAACCACAUACAGAAUGUGAAUUCUUGGAAAUUGAACCAGGAACUCCUUGGUCGGAUUCAGAAUGUGGAGUAGCCUCACUUCCCACAGCUGGAAUCAUAGCUGGUGUUCUAUUUUUCCUGAUAGGCACCAUAGAUGGUGUUUGUAUAUUUAUGAGAAGAAGAGAAAUAGGGAGAAAUAUAAAAAACUUGGGCUCUCAAAUACCUACACAGGCAUCCCCAGAUCAGGAAAUACCAAUGCUGCCUGGGGGAAAUGGAAACGAUUCAAGCCCCCAACACGGUCAGGGAGUCAACAUUGUGUAAUCUGUGGUCCGCUGGCUGGUCCAGCCAUCUCUAGUAAAUCUUAACACUACAUGUUAAAUUUCAUAUUGUAGAAUCUGGUUGGUAUAAGGACCACUGUGCCUUUGUAUCACAUGGGGAUGUUUGAAACUUACUCCUCAGCCUGAACUGUCCCCAC